GUCAAAGCCUAACGGCUGAACCAGCAACUUGGAGGAAUGUAUAGCGAAAGCUAGUUGCAUUAAAUUCGAUUAAUUCGAAGUUAAUGCAUCAUCGACUAUGUCGAAUAAAGUUCUAGGUAGAGUUAUGAUAAUGACAUUUUCUAUCUAUGUGUCUUGACCAAAUCACGUGCCAGCAGUCGCGGUAAUACGUGGAAGACUAGUGUUAUUCAUCUUUAAUAGGUUUAAAGGGUACUUAGACGGUAAAUUAAGCCCAGAUAAAAACAAAGGGUACUAAUUAUACUAGAGUUUUAUAAGAGGAGGGUGUGUACUAGUGGUGUAGAGAUGAAAUUCUGUCAUACCAUUAUGACAGGCAACGGCGAAAGCAACCUUUAUAAAAAAAACUGACGUUAAAGGACGAAGGCUUUGUGUCACCAACAGGAUUAGAUACCCAAGCAGUCUUAGCAGACAAUUCUGAAUGCCAUAGAUAAGAAAUCCAUAGAUAAUAUUAUAAAAAAAUAAUAUCUUUUUUGUCUAUAAAUGAAAGUGUAAGCAUUCCACCUCAAGAGUAAUGUGGCAACGCAGAAACUGAAAUCAUUAGACCGUUUCUGAAACCAGUAGUGAAGUAUGUUGUUUAAUUAGAUGGUCCGCAAAAAACCUUACCACAAUUUGUAUAUUAUUAGCUUAAUACAAGAGUUGCACGGCUGUCUUCAGUUAAUGUCGUGAGAUUUUGGUUAACUCCAUUAAAUUAACGUAAACCCUUACUUUAUUUUUUAUUAUAAAGUAGUUCCCCGCUAUAUUGGAUAUGAUAACAGGGACUAAGACAAGUCAUCAUGGCCUGAAUAUUGUGGGCUAUAGACGUGCCACAUAAGCCUAUACAAAGGGAUGCGAAAUUGUGAAAU
rnacentral:rRNA from 1 species